rnacentral:tRNA from 1 species
GCCAGAGUGGUGUAGUAGUUUGAGCAUCAGACUACAACUCAGGAGUCCAGGGUUCAAAUCCCCACUUGGCU